rnacentral:lncRNA from 1 species
CUUUAGCAAGCAAAAAUACCUGGCCCGAGCAUGGACACUCUUUUCUGUUUUUGUGCCUAAGUAAGCAAUCAUCUGUCUGUGUUCUUUACAGGCUGAGAGUGGCCAUUAAGAAAUGAAAGCGAGUUUAGAUUUCACCGGCAUGUUUGGAUUUGACGACAUUUUGCAUUUCAAGAAACCAAGGUCAGCUCAACCCUUUUUUGCACUGGGACCCAGCCACCACCGUGAUUUAAGCAAAGAACUACACUGGUGACUUUAAAGGUAAGUGGUGGCAUGAUCGUUCACUGCCUCACAUGCUUCCAUUUGCUGAGGACUGUCUUUACUUCUAAAUCUAGUAAGGAGAGCUGUGUUUCACUUCACAAAAUACUAGCAAGUUCUGAGAUGAGGUCGAAUUUAUCCUUGAGAAUACACUUGGAGACUAAAAAAUUGUGUAUUGUUGGGAAAAGUUAACCUUUCCAACAUUAGCUCCCUCUUGCAUGUGCCUUAUUUUCUAACUCCAAGCAAAGUGAUAGAAGAACUCUUAUUAGAAAAUUACAGAAAACUGAACCUCAUACCUCUUGUUAAAAAAAAAAAAAAAAGACAUCUUGCGGGAUUAAUCUACCACUGCUAAGGCAUUCCCAACUCAAAUUUUUCUCUAUUCUCCCACAAAAUCAAAUGCCCAGCUAUAUUUACCACAGCAAAAGAAAUUAGUUGAGCUUCUAAUAUCACAGAAGCAAACUAAUAUUUCUCAUGUGUUUAUUCGUUUUUAGAAGCUGGGCAAGGAGUAACAAUUGCCUGUGACAACUGUCUGUGAAGAAUAUCGUUCUCAGAAAUUCCAAACUGCCCCAGAGCUGUGGCAGGAAAGUCCACAGAUUAUUAUUGGGUAAUGACAUUGGAAAUAAAAAAGUAUAUAGUAUUACAGUAUUGAGCUAUUAGAGUAGGG